rnacentral:rRNA from 1 species
UACGUAGGGUGCAAGCGUUGUCCGGAAUUAUUGGGCGUAAAGAGCUCGUAGGCGGUUUGUCGCGUCGGCUGUGAAAACCUGGGGCUCAACCCCGGGCCUGCAGCCGAUACGGGCAAACUAGAAUUCGGUAGGGGAGACUGGAAUUCCUGGUGUAGCGGAGAAAUGCGCAGAUAUCAGGAGGAACACCGGUGGCGAAGGCGGGUCUCUGGGACGGUACUGACGCUGAGACGCGAAAGCGUGGGGAGCGAACAGG